rnacentral:rRNA from 1 species
AUGGAGCCGACCUUGAAAUACCACCCUUUAAUGUUUGAUGUUCUAACGUUGACCCGUAAUCCGGGUUGCGGACAGUGUCUGGUGGGUAGUUUGACUGGGGCGGUCUCCUCCUAAAGAGUAACGGAGGAGCACGAAGGUUGGCUAAUCCUGGUCGGACAUCAGGAGGUUAGUGCAAUGGCAUAAGCCAGCUUGACUGCGAGCGUGACGGCGCGAGCAGGUGCGAAAGCAGGUCAUAGUGAUCCGGUGGUUCUGAAUGGAAGGGCCAUCGCUCAACGGAUAAAAGGUACUCCGGGGAUAACAGGCUGAUACCGCCCAAGAGUUCAUAUCGACGGCGGUGUUUGGCACCUCGAUG